GAUGAACGCUGGCGGCGUGCCUAAUACAUGCAGGUCGAGCGAACAGACGAGGAGCUUGCUCCUCUGACGUUAGCGGCGGACGGGUUAGUAACACGUGGAUAACCUACCUAUAAGACUGGGAUAACUUCGGGAAACCGGAGCUAAUACCGGAUAAUAUAUUGAACCGCAUGGUUCAAUAGUUAAAGACGGUUUUGCUGUCACUUAUAGAUGGAUCCGCGCCGCAUUAGCUAGUUGGUAAGGUAACGGCUUACCAAGGCAACGAUGCGUAGCCGACCUGAGAGGGUGAUCGGCCACACUGGAACUGAGACACGGUCCAGACUCCUACGGGAGGCAGCAGUAGGGAAUCUUCCGCAAUGGGCGAAAGCCUGACGGAGCAACGCCGCGUGAGUGAUGAAGGUCUUCGGAUCGUAAAACUCUGUUAUUAGGGAAGAACAAAUGUGUAAGUAACUAUGCACGUCUUGACGGUACCUAAUCAGAAAGCCACGGCUAACUACGUG
rnacentral:rRNA from 1 species